UUGACAAGAGUAACACAAGCCUUCGAGCAUUUCCCUUUUCAGCUUUCAUUGCCAACCAAACCUUAGAGUGGCCUUUCUGUUUUCUCAAUGAGAAACCCUUCCUCUAUGCAAUGCGCAUUUUCGCGCUUCGGGGUUCCCUUGAUGCUUCUUGUUAGCAUCUUUUGUGCUACUUCAGCUUUAGCAACAACUGAAGUUCCAGAUGGGAAGGUUGUGAAUGAAGAGCUGACAAAGACAAAUCAAAAUGGACAUGAUGAAGAAGCAAAAUUCAAAGGGUUUUUCCAUCCAAAACCAAUCUUCAAGAAGACAAUUCCAAUUUUUAAGCCUGAACCAAAGAUUAUUCCUAUUCCAGUGUAUAAGCCUGUACCAAAAAUAAUUCCAAUUGUUAAGCCAAUUCCUGUAUUUAAGCCUCACCCAAAACCAAUUAUAGUGAAAAAGCCAAUCCCAGCUGUUGAGACAGAGUCAUUUCUAAAGCCAAAGCCUUUCUUUAAAAAGCCUAUUAUUCAUAAAAUACCACUUCAUCCCAAAUUUGAGAAACCACAUAUACCACAUUUUCCAAUUCACAAGCCAAUUCACAAGCCAUUUAUUCCAACUCCAUGAGAUGAUUACACUCUUUCUCCAUAUUCUACAAAAUUAUCAUCCUUAAUUAUCCAUUCUAUUUCCAAUAGUGUUUCUAUAAUCAUGUUACACAUCUUGUGUAUUCUAUUAAAAUAUAUCUAUAUCUAGUCCAUGCUUUAUUGCCUCAAUAAGGUUCUCAGCAUUGCUGUU